UACGAAGGGGGCUAGCGUUGCUCGGAAUCACUGGGCGUAAAGCGCACGUAGGCGGAUUGUUAAGUCAGGGGUGAAAUCCUGGAGCUCAACUCCAGAACUGCCUUUGAUACUGGCGAUCUUGAGUCCGGGAGAGGUGAGUGGAACUGCGAGUGUAGAGGUGAAAUUCGUAGAUAUUCGCAAGAACACCAGUGGCGAAGGCGGCUCACUGGCCCGGUACUGACGCUGAGGCACGAAAGCGCUGGGGAGCAAACAGGA
rnacentral:rRNA from 1 species